AUGGGCCUUCGGCCUUUUCGUCGGUGUUGGAAAGCAGGCUGUGGGAGUGGCCGCCGACCACCAC
rnacentral:sRNA from 1 species